UACAGAGGGUGCAAGCGUUAAUCGGAAUUACUGGGCGUAAAGCGCGCGUAGGUGGUUCGUUAAGUUGGAUGUGGAAUCCCCGGGCUCAACCUGGGAACUGCAUUCAAAACUGUCAAGCUAGAGUAUGGUAGAGGGUGGUGGAAUUUCCUGUGUAGCGGUGAAAUGCGUAGAUAUAGGAAGGAACACCAGCGGCGAAGGCGGCUACCUGGACAGAAACUGACGCUGAGGCGCGAAAGCUAGGGGAGCGAACGGG
rnacentral:rRNA from 1 species